CGUUUUGUCCGUGUAUAGGACUUCCUCAGGGACUUUGGUAGGGUGCAGUAACAAAUCCAAAUAAAUUUAUUUUUAAGUCCCUGAGGAAGUCCUAUACAUGGACGAAACG